rnacentral:rRNA from 1 species
UUAGAGUUUGAUCAUGGCUCAGAUUGAUCGCUGGCGGCAGGCCUAACACAUGCAAGUCGAGCGGCAGCACAGAGGAACUUGUUCCUUGGGUGGCGAGCGGCGGACGGGUGAGUAAUGCCUGGGAAAUUGCCCGGUAGAGGGGGAUAACCAUUGGAAACGAUGGCUAAUACCGCAUAACCUCGUAAGAGCAAAGCAGGGGACCUUCGGGCCUUGUGCUACCGGAUAUGCCCAGGUGGGAUUAGCUAGUUGGUGAGGUAAGGGCUCACCAAGGCGACGAUCCCUAGCUGGUCUGAGAGGAUGAUCAGCCACACUGGAACUGAGACACGGUCCAGACUCCUACGGGAGGCAGCAGUGGGGAAUAUUGCACAAUGGGCGCAAGCCUGAUGCAGCCAUGCCGCGUGUAUGAAGAAGGCCU